rnacentral:rRNA from 1 species
AGUGAACGCUGGCGGUAGGCCUAACACAUGCAAGUCGAACGGCAGCACAGUAAGAGCUUGCUCUUACGGGUGGCGAGUGGCGGACGGGUGAGGAAUACAUCGGAAUCUACUUUUUCGUGGGGGAUAACGUAGGGAAACUUACGCUAAUACCGCAUACGACCUAAGGGUGAAAGCAGGGGAUCUUCGGACCUUGCGCGAUUGAAUGAGCCGAUGUCGGAUUAGCUAGUUGGCGGGGUAAAGGCCCACCAAGGCGACGAUCCGUAACUGGUCUGAGAGGAUGAAGAGCGACUCUGGAACUGAGAGACGGUCCAGAGUCCGAGGGGAGGCAGCGGUGGGGAAUAUUGGACAAUGGGCGCAAUCCUGAUCCAGCCAUACCGCGUGGGUGAAGAAGGCCUGCGGGUUGGAAAGCCCUUUUGUUGUGGAAGAACAGCAGCAGGUUAAUACCCCGCUGGUCUGACGGUACCCAAAGAAUAAGCACCGGCUAACUUCGUG